rnacentral:rRNA from 1 species
UACAGAGGGUGCAAGCGUUAAUCGGAAUUACUGGGCGUAAAGCGUGCGCAGGCGGUUUUGUAAGUCUGUCGUGAAAAGCCCCCGGGCUCAACCUGGGAAUUGCGAUGGAGACUGCAAGGCUUGAAUCUGGCAGAGGGGGGGGUAGAAUUCCACGUGUAGCAGUGAAAAUGCGUAGAUAUGCGGAGGAACACCGGUGGCGAAGGCGGCUAUCUGGACCGUAACUGACGCUGAGGCGCGAAAAGCGUGGGGGAGCAAACAGG